GACGAACGCUGGCGGCGCGCCUAACACAUGCAAGUCGAACGGAGAUACUUAGAAGUUUACUUUUGGGUAUCUUAGUGGCGGACGGGUGAGUAACACGUGAGCAACCUACCCUUCAGUGUGGAAUAACGAUUGGAAACGAUCGCUAAUACCGCAUGACAUCUUGGGACCGCAUGGUUCUGGGAUCAAAGAUUUAUCGCUGAGGGAUGGGCUCGCGGCCGAUUAGCUAGAUGGUGAGGUAACGGCCCACCAUGGCGACGAUCGGUAGCCGGACUGAGAGGUUGAACGGCCACAUUGGGACUGAGACACGGCCCAG
rnacentral:rRNA from 1 species